rnacentral:lncRNA from 1 species
AAAACAAGACUCUGUCUCAAAAAAAAAAAAAAAAAAAAGAAAUAAAGGCAGAAAUCAAAAAGUUCUUUGAAACCAAUGAGAACAAAGAGACGACAUACCAGAAUAUCUGGGCGUCCCUUCAUGUUAAAAACUCUCAAUAAACUAGGUGUUGAUGGAACAUAUCUCAAAAUAAAAAGAGCUAUUUAUGACAAACCCAUAGCCAAUAUCAUAUUAAAUGGGCAAAGGCUGGAAGUAUCUCCUUAAACUGAUAAACAACUUCAGCAAAGUCUCAGGAUACAAAAUCAAUGUGCAAAAAUCACAAGCAUUCCUUUACACCAACAAUAGACAAGCAGAGAGUCAAAUCAUGAAUGAACUCCCAUUCACAAUUGCUACAAAGAGAAUAAAAUACCUAGGAAUACAGCUAACAGGGGAUGUGAAGGACCUCUUGAAGGAGAUCUACAAACCACUGCUCAAGGAAAUAAGAGGGGACACAAGCAAAUGGAAAAACAUUCCCUUCUCAUGGAUAGGAAGAAUCAACAUUGUGAAAAUGGCCAUACUGCCCAAAGUAAUUUAUAGAUUAAAUGAUAUUCCCAUCAAACUACC